CUACUACAGAGUUACUGUGUGAAUUUAGCUUCUGGGGUCAGAUGGUGAUUUUCUGGAAAACACUUUUAGGUCUAAGAUUCAUAAAUAAGUGAAUUAGAGAGAGAAGCUUAAACUUUCACUGGAUGGUGUUUGUACUGAAUGUUAAUGAGUUUCUCACUGUAGUGGAUUUAUGGUGGAAGAAGCAGCAUCAGUGUUGGCAGACUUUCGGUGGAGGAACUAAACUCAUUGUGAAAACUGGUCCGGUGGUGAAGCCCUCCGUGUCUCUGCUCCCUCCGUCCUCUCUGCAGCUCUCGGAGGGAUCGGCCUCGUUGCUCUGCCUGCUCUCAGCCUAUUCUCCACAGGGGGCGCUGCUGAGCUGGACCGUAGACGGUGCCGAGGUGAACGAGGGGGUUCUGACCAGCACAGAAGAACAGAAGAACGGCAUCUACAGCCGCAGCAGCACCCUGACCCUCAGCAAAGAACGUUGGGAAGAGGCCGAGGUGUUCGGCUGUACCGUCUCCCACCACGACACCACUCAGAUCGCCUCGUUCCGAAAGAGCCGCUGUGAAGUCCACUAGAAUUCAAGUGUACACUUUAAAACACGCUUAGCAGUCUGAGGUGGUGUCAGUGGUGUAGCUAUGCUGAAAUAAAGCUUCAAUGUGGAAA